AACAACUACUUGAAAAAUUGCCAACAUAUUCAACGAACUCCAUAAAACACUUUCACAACAACCAUUUCUGGGCUGAAGAAAAAAAGAGACGUUUUCAAAAAAUGCGUUGUGGUAAAGAAGGGUAAGACAUUAUUAUGUUGGAGAUUAUGAAUAACAAGACACUCUGUUGGUCGAGCUCGCAAAAAACGAAUCGAUGACAUCCAAGCCAUAGCCAGUAAAAACUGGAUAACGAGAACAUAAAACCAGAAUGAUUAAAAUAGCUUAAAGGAAACUUACAUCCUGCAGUGUUCCAGAAAUCAUUUUAAAGAUGCAUAACACAUAACUCAUUGGUAAGGUGUUACUGUGAAAUGGUUUCCCUACAAUCGAGAUGAACGUUUUUUUGUCUCUUGUAUUUAAUUAAAUUAUGUCGAUUAUUGUCUUCUGUAAUUUUUGUUUAACAAAUAAAUGUUUUUUGCUUUU